GGCCCCAUCGACCAGGAAGGACUUAAAUGGAGCCCGCGGAGCCACACCAACGCGCCAGCAGACCAGGGACUUUGGCAGGCCCGGUCUGUCUACAGCACAAACGCAGGGCCUGUAGGAGCGUGUCGUGGUGACAGCGUAAAGUGGACAGAACGAACGAAUCCUAAGACGAAAACUAUUUAAAAGCAAUGGCCUGCGGCCGACGCGGGAGAAAAGAGAGGUGGACAGCCUACAGCUUUCCCAAAGCAAGAGCGUGUCAAUAAUCGCACCGUCUCGGGGGCGAGGGCGAAGCGCCCGACCAACCUUGGCAACCCUGAGCCGCCGCCGCCGCUCCCGCUUCCCGCCGCCGCCGCCGGCCCCUGCGCCGCCGCCGCCACCAUGGCUCCCUCCUGCUCGCCCGCCGAGCCGCCUACCGCCGCCGUUGCCGCCGCCGCCGCCCCGUCCCCUCCGAACUGCUCCUCCGACAUAGUGCUACUGCCGCCGCCGAAGACGACACCCGCCGACGCCGCCGCCGCCGCGAACCGAAACUAGCAGCAAAGUAAUCCCCGCCGCCGCCGCGCGAUGCCCGCUCUACCUCGCGAGGCACCCUAGACAAGGCGCGCGCGUGGCUGCAAGGGCUCCUGCGCCUCUCCCCGGCCUGCCCCCCUCGCCUCCCACUCUCGCGCAGCGCGCUCUCUCGCUCUCCCCGGCUGCACUGAAAA
ensembl:antisense